rnacentral:rRNA from 1 species
GCUUGUCUCAAAGAUUAAGCCAUGCAUGUCUAAGUAUAAACGACUUUAUACUGUGAAACUGCGAAUGGCUCAUUAUAUCAGUUAUAGUUUAUUUGAUGGUCCUUGCUACUUGGAUAACCGUAGUAAUUCUAGAGCUAAUACAUGCAUCAAACCCCGACUUCUGGAAGGGUCGUGUUUAUUAGAUACAAAACCAGCAUCUCGUUGGUGAGUCAUAAUAACCAAGCGAAUCGUCGGUUUACCGACGAUAGAUCGUUCAAGUUUCUGACCUAUCAGCUUUGACGGUAGGGUAUUGGCCUACCGUGGCAAUGACGGGUAACGGAGAAUUAGGGUUCGAUUCCGGAGAGGGAGCCUGAGAAACGGCUACCACAUCUAAGGAAGGCAGCAGG